rnacentral:rRNA from 1 species
UACGUAGGGUGCAAGCGUUAUCCGGAAUUAUUGGGCGUAAAGAGCUCGUAGGCGGUUUGUCGCGUCUGCUGUGAAAACUGGGGGGCUCAACCCCCCAGCCUGCAGUGGGUACGGGCAGACUGGAGUGCGGUAGGGGAGAUUGGAAUUCCUGGUGUAGCGGUGGAAUGCGCAGAUAUCAGGAGGAACACCGAUGGCGAAGGCAGAUCUCUGGGCCGUAACUGACGCUGAGGAGCGAAAGCAUGGGGAGCGAACAGG